AGAGGGUGCAAACGUUGUUCGGAAUUACUGGGCGUAAAGCGCGCGUAGGCAGCAGCGUGUGUCGGGCGUGAAAUCCCAUGGCUCAACCAUGGAAGUGCACUCGAAACUGCGCAGCUAGAGUCUCGGAGAGGAAGGCGGAAUGCUUGGUGUAGAGGUGAAAUUCGUAGAUAUCAAGCGGAACACCGGUGGCGAAGGCGGCCUUCUGGACGAUGACUGACGCUGAAGCGCGAAAGCGUGGGGAGCAAACAGGAUUAGAUACCCUGGUAGUCCACGCCGUAAACGAUGAGUGCUAGGUGUCACGGGCUUUGACCCUCGUGGUGCCGCAGCUAACGCGUUAAGCACUCCGCCUGGGGAGUACGGCCGCAAGGCUAAA
rnacentral:rRNA from 1 species